UAUGAUGUAGUAAACAACUGAAAUAUCAAAUAUUUACAAGAGUUAACAAAACGAUAAGUUAUUUACAUUAAUCGCACACACUUACAAACUAACCUGAAUCAAUACAGUUGCCGAUAGCAAACCUUUGUUAUGACUUUUGUAUUGUCAUUAGUGCUCGUAGCUCGGAGUCAUCUUUCAUACUGACUCUUUGCGCAUGAGCCAACGCGCGGCGCUACGUAGCUUGGUGACGUACCCAAGCUCUACAUCGCCCAGAUCGGAAAAGC
rnacentral:lncRNA from 1 species